AGAGUUUGAUCAUGGCUCAGGAUGAACGCUAGCUACAGGCUUAACUCAUGCAAGUCGAGGGGCAUCAGGAUGUAGCAAUACAUUGCUGGCGACCGGCGCACGGGUGAGUAACACGUAUCCAACCUGCCUUUUACUCGGGGAUAGGCUUUCGAAAGAAAGAUUAAUACCCGAUGGCAUAAUAUUUCCGCAUGGGAUUAUUAUUAAAGAAUUUCGGUAAAAGAUGGGGAUGCGUUCCAUUAGGCAGUUGGCGGGGUAACGGCCCACCAAACCUUCGAUGGGUAGGGGUUCUGAGAGGAAGGUCCCCCACAUUGGACCUGAGACACGGUCCAAACUCCUACGGGAGGCAGCAGUGAGGAAUAUUGGUCAAUGGGCGAGAGCCUGAACCAGCCAAGUAGCGUGAAGGAUGACUGCCCUAUGGGUUGUAAACUUCUUUUAUAGGGGAAUAAAGUGAGCCACGUGUGGCUUUUUGUAUGUACCCUAUGAAUAAGGAUCGGCUAACUCCGUGCCAGCCGCCGCGGUAAUAC
rnacentral:rRNA from 1 species